rnacentral:lncRNA from 1 species
GUGGUUCCCUAAAUUUUGAUUGCUCUGUCUCCAUGAACAUUUCCACAUCAUCUCUAUCCCCUCUGGUCCCAUCACUGUAAUUGAGUUGCCUACUGGGUAUGGCUCAUGGAAAAUUUGGGGCAAGUCAUUGGUCUAUGCAGCCUACUGGCCUUCCACCCAACCCCCUGCCCAAGGGCAGGCUUCCUCUCUUUUCUCGUGUGCUCCCUCCCACCACCCCACCCUCCUACUUAUUUCUCUUCAAACAGUUAUACCUGAGCCUAUGUUGGCAGUUUCCGUCUCCUCUUCUAUCUGAUAUAGAGGUGUGUCUCUACCCUGGCUGACAGACAUAUUCAUGCUCCCCGCUCAGGCCAGAAGCCUGCCCAACCUCUACAGGGUGACUCCUGGGACUCAGACAGGGCAGUGACCAAGGGCUGUUUCUCUCUGCAGGAAGGCUCUAUAACCCAUUCGUCUGGUAUACUUUCAGACAUCUCGUUCUCCCUGAGACCAACUAUGAAGUGUGUUUCAAACUUUGCAGAUGCAGUUGUAUAUUUACCUUCAUACAGCAGUCCCCCCUUAUCUAUGGUUUCACUUUCCUCACUUUCACUUACCAACAGUACAGUAUAAUUUAGUACAUUGUUCUUUUUUCCUAAGGGAAAUGUAAAAUUAGGAGUAACUUAUUGUUGCUUUAAUUUUAGAUUAUGUACAUUUUAAAGUCAGAUAUACAACUGAGUUAUGAAUAAUAUGUGUGAGAUAUUUCAAAAAGUAAAAUGCAUUUUUAAAGAAAUUGUUACCUUUCUGAGUAGCAAUUUAAUCAUAAAUUAAAUCAGGGUUCAUAUACCUGUAUUGAUUUAACCAUUUAAAUGUAUUUGAUUUGAAAUUGGUCUGUCCUGAUGCAAGGAUUCAGAGGGGAGAAUAGAAAGAGCAGUGGAUACUUUUCCUGGAGACAUUGAAAGUUUCCUGGCAUAAAUUUAACACAGAGAGAAGGAAGAUUAUGUCAUUAUUCCUCAUUCCCUUGGUCAUUCGUCUUGUGGAGAACAAUUGCUACAUUCCAGUAACAAGUUUUCUGAGGCUUACUAAUAGCUCCAUGACAUAUUAAGUACUGAUCUCAUUUAAUUAUAAUUUAAGUGAGAUUAAAUUAUUCUAUGUAGUUAAAGUAGAAUCAAGCAUCCUACAGAUGCUGCACUAAUUAUAGUUAUUGAUGGCCUACUUUUUCUAACCUAAAAAGGUAAAUGAGGGAGGGAAUUGUCUUUGCCUUUGAGGAAUUUUCCCUCUAAAAUAGAUUAGUUCACUGUCAUUGCUGUUUAUUUUCA